rnacentral:rRNA from 1 species
CUACGGGAGGCUGCAGCGGGGAAUAUUGCACAAUGGAGGAAACUCUGAUGCAGCAACGCCGCGUGGAGGAUGACACUUUUCGGAGCGUAAACUCCUUUUAUAUAGGAAGAAGAUGACGGUACUAUAUGAAUAAGCGCCGGCUAACUCCGUGCCAGCAGCCGCGGUAAUACGGAGGGCGCAAGCGUUACUCGGAAUCACUGGGCGUAAAGAGCGUGUAGGCGGAUUAAAAAGUCAGAAGUGAAAUCCUAUAGCUUAACUUUAGAACUGCUUCUGAAACUCUUAAUCUAGAAUAUGGGAGAGGUAGAUGGAAUUUCUGGUGUAGGGGUAAAAUCCGUAGAGAUCAGAAGGAAUACCGAUUGCGAAGGCGAUCUACUAGAACAUUAUUGACGCUGAGACGCGAAAGCGUGGGGAGCAAACAGGAUUAGAUACCCGCGUAGUC